UUGUUUACAUUAUGUCAUUUUAUUUUCCAGAAAGACAAAGACAGAUUUGAUAUUAUGAAAUGGCAAUUCUAAAACCCAGGAGAUAUUUUGAUGUUUCUGAGCUCUUACUCCAGUGUCCACUUGUCCAUAGAAUCACCUUUCACUUCUGGAGUCAGAGGCUCCUGGAAGGAUCUCCCAUCUUAUGGCAAAAAUGUAAGAGAACUUGGUUGGGCGUGAUGGAUCACACGUGUGAUUCAAGCAUUUUGAGAGGCUGAGGCUGGCAGAUCACUUGAGGUUCUUCCAAAAGCCGACCUUGAGACAAGCCGUCGAAUGUAAGAUCGUAAGUCCUUUAUUGGGGAAGUAAUAGUAGGGAAGUAGGAAAAGAAGAAACCAAUAAGGUGGCCUCAUCAAGCAAGGACCCUCCAUAGAAAACUGCAGUGAAAUCCUGCUGGGAAAUUCUGGAUCCAGCACAAAACACC
rnacentral:lncRNA from 10 species